UAGAAACACAAACAUCUAUAUAUGGUAUUGUCCUGACGCUUCCCCUUUAAGAAAUCUGAGUGUAGUGCGCGUGCAACUGUAGCGCGCAUACUUUGAACAGUAACGGUCAAAGAGGAGAAGAAGCUGAGAAAUCGAGUGAUUAACGUUGUUUAACUUGUUAAAAUGUAUUUAAAGAUGCUAAAAAGGAAGAAAUAGUAAUACUUAUCUGAUCUGCAUCCUAAACGAACAGUUUUGGGUUAACAAUAUCUGUUGGCAACUGCAAUGAAGCAUCAAGAAAGACAUGGACAUGCCAGCCACCCUGAGACUGAUAAUUCAUGAGAAGACAUUUCUGUCAAAGUGGAUGGUGAGCAAAGAUGGUGGCCACGUUUUGGAGCAGCACCUGGGUUUUGCAGAUGGCUAUGUAUUCUUUGGCUGCUUGUCUUUAUGUUUCUGUUGCCUAAAGAUUCUUUGUGAGGAUAAAUCACAACAAAAUGCACUGCAAACCGUCCUAAGACAGGAGAAAUG